AGAGUAAUAGCUCAGUGGUAGAGUGCAUGCUUAGCAUGCCUGAGGUCCUCGGUUCAACCCCCAGUACCUCCA
rfam:Camelus ferus unplaced genomic scaffold scaffold667, whole genome shotgun sequence.